UACGAAGGGUGCAAACGUUGCUCGGAAUCAUUGGGCGUAAAGCGCACGUAGGCGGCUUCGCAAGUCGGAUGUGAAAUCCCUCGGCUCAACCGAGGACGUGCAUACGAAACUGCGGAGCUUGAGUGCUGAAGAGGAUCGCGGAAUUCCCGGUGUAGAGGUGAAAUUCGUAGAUAUCGGGAGGAACACCAGUGGCGAAGGCGGACUCACUGCCCGAGUACUGACGCUGAUGCACGAAAGCGUGGGGAGCAAACAGG
rnacentral:rRNA from 1 species